GACGAACGCUGGCGGCGCGCCUAACACAUGCCAGUCGAACGAGCGAGAGAGAGCUUGCUUUCUCAAGCGAGUGGCGAACGGGUGAGUAACGCGUGAGGAACCUGCCUCAAAGAGGGGGACAACAGUUGGAAACGACUGCUAAUACCGCAUAAGCCCACGACCCGGCAUCGGGUAGAGGGAAAAGGAGCAAUCCGCUUUGAGAUGGCCUCGCGUCCGAUUAGCUAGUUGGUGAGGUAACGGCCCACCAAGGCGACGAUCGGUAGCCGGACUGAGAGGUUGAACGGCCACAUUGGGACUGAGACACGGCCCAGACUCCUACGGGAGGCAGCAGUGGGGAAUAUUGCACAAUGGGGGAAACCCUGAUGCAGCGACGCCGCGUGGAGGAAGCAGGUCUUCGGAUUGUAAACUCCUGUUGUUGAGGAAGAUAAUGACGGUACUCAACAAGGAAGUGACGGCUAACUACGUG
rnacentral:rRNA from 1 species